rnacentral:rRNA from 1 species
UAGGGAAUCUUCGGCAAUGGACGGAAGUCUGACCGAGCAACGCCGCGUGAGUGAAGAAGGUUUUCGGAUCGUAAAGCUCUGUUGUUAGAGAAGAACGUUGGUAGGAGUGGAAAAUCUACCAAGUGACGGUAACUAACCAGAAAGGGACGGCUAACUACGUGCCAGCAGCCGCGGUAAUACGUAGGUCCCGAGCGUUGUCCGGAUUUAUUGGGCGUAAAGCGAGCGCAGGCGGUUCUUUAAGUCUGAAGUUAAAGGCAGUGGCUUAACCAUUGUACGCAUUGGAAACUGGAGGACUUGAGUGCAGAAGGGGAGGGUGGAAUUCCAUGUGUAGCGGUGAAAUGCGUAGAUAUAUGGAGGAACACCGGUGGCGAAAGCGGCUCUCUGGUCUGUAGCUGACGCUGAGGCUCGGAAGCGUGGGGAGCAAACAGG